rnacentral:sRNA from 1 species
GCUGGGCAUGGUGGUGCACACUUGUAAUCCCAGCAACUUGGGAAGCUGAGGCAGGAGGAUCGCAAGUUUGAGGCCAGACUUGGCAACUUAGUGAGACCCUGUCUCAA